rnacentral:rRNA from 1 species
UUCUAGGUACUAUCACUUAAUUAAAAGUUCUUAUGGAAGCUAAGCAGGGUCGGGCCUGGUAAGUACUUGGAUGGGAGACCACCUGGGAAGACCAGGUGCUGUAGGUG